GUGUCAGCAGCCGCGGUAAUACGAAGGACCCAAGCGUUAUCCGGAUUUAUUGGGUUUAAAGGGUGCGUAGGCGGGUUAUUAAGUCAGUGGUGAAAGCUCCGAGCCCAACUCGGAAAUUGCCAUUGAUACUGAUGAUCUUGAGUACAUUUGAGGUGGGCGGAAUGUGUCAUGUAGCGGUGAAAUGCUUAGAGAUGACACAGAACACCGAUUGCGAAGGCAGCUCACUAAACUGUAACUGACGCUGAGGCACGAAAGCGUGGGGAGCAAACAGGAUUAGAUACCCGAGUAGUCC
rnacentral:rRNA from 1 species